GACGAACGCUGGCGGCGUGCCUAAUACAUGCAAGUCGAGCGAAUGACGAGAAGCUUGCUUCUCUGAUUUAGCGGCGGACGGGUGAGUAACACGUGGGCAACCUGCCCUACAGAUUGGGAUAACUCAGGGAAACCUGGGCUAAUACCGGAUAAUCCUUCGAAUCACAUGUUUUGAAGUUGAAAGGCGCUUCGGCGUCACUGUAGGAUGGGCCCGCGGUGCAUUAGCUAGUUGGUGGGGUAACGGCCUACCAAGGCAACGAUGCAUAGCCGACCUGAGAGGGUGAGCGGCCACAUUGGGACUGAGACACGGCCCAAACUCCUACGGGAGGCAGCAGUAGGGAAUCUUCCACAAUGGACGAAAGUCUGAUGGAGCAACGCCGCGUGAGUGAUGAAGGUUUUCGGAUCGUAAAACUCUGUUGUAAGGGAAGAACAAGUACGUUAGGAAAUGAACGUACCUUGACGGUACCUUAUUAGAAAGCCACGGCUAACUACGUGCCAGCAGCCGCAGUAA
rnacentral:rRNA from 1 species